rnacentral:lncRNA from 1 species
AAGAGGACGUGGGGACCUGAUAGCAACACACAUGUUGUUGAUGGGCGGACUUUCUCUAUCAGGGAGGCUCAGCUGGAGCAACAGAGCAGCAUUUCUGGAGGAGGGCAUAUCAGUUUUGACACCUGUUUUCAGAAUCAUCCACAGAAGCACAAAGAUCAAAUGCAGAAGGAACUGCACGUGGAAAGGCCAGCCACAUACAUCACAAAAAGAGGACUGAAGUCAGCACACAGCUUGAAAGCCGGACUACAGGCCUUUCUUCAAGAAUGGCUGGAGUGACCCUGGGGACUUGCUGCAAGAAGCAAGAGGAUUGGGCAAAGGUCAAGAGGCCAUUUGUCAAACAGCACAAGACAUGUAACAGGAUAUGCACAGUGAGACAUGGCGGGGGAGAGCCCCCACGGAGCCCAGGGGAUGUAUGACAUCAUAGUCACAGUCCUACAUCUUCCUCUGUUUCCCCAGCUACCCUGGCUAUCUCUGCAGACAGGAAGAGAGCUGCCAAGUAGGGCUGGAAAGAGACACUCGGCAGGUAGAUCUUGCCGUAACAAGGAGAAGAAACUCAUGGAUUUCACCUAAGACCAGAGAAGGGAACAUUCCCAAGAGACUUGGAGGUUCCAUCUCUCAAGCAACCUGAAAUUAGCAGGGAUUUCUCCUGCGGCUUUGCCAUGAUGUGGGGAAAAGGGAAGUGGUUUUGACGCAAGGGACAGAGGGAGUGUUGGCGGUGGCAGGGGGAGCAGGGGCAGCAGCUCACUUACGGGUUAAAACCACCCUGGAGAGGCCCAGCUCUCUGAAGUUCGACAUCAGAAUAUACAUUCGAGUAAGGGUGGUCAGUUAUUCAAUUUUUUGAGACUCACUUUCCUUGUCUUUAUACAUGAGGUUUAACAAAAUUGUCAAGAAGGUGACAGAAAACAGCAGAGGAAAAAGCUGCAGUAUAGUGGAUACUCCAUAAAUAUUGGUUCCCUUGGCUAUAUUCGUCCCCUCUUUUUCCCAAGUGUAGAGCAACAUGGAUUAAAAUUUAUUUUGUAUUUCUAGAUCUCCAGCAAAUGUAUUUAGAACUGUUCUAUUAAAUUUUCCUGGAAAAUAAAGCAUCCCUUGCAUUGAGGCUAUCUAGGUAAUCUAUUUAACAGCAUCUAAGUCUAGAAAUUCAGAAACGUCUAUAUGUGCGCCUCUCUCUGUAAUGUCCUGAUUCUUUUUUUUUUUCUCAUCCACUUGCCCAUCAGUGGUUCAGAUAUUCUCUCUAUAUUUGUGUUUGCAAAGUUCUAUUCCUGAAUGGAAUUUUCUCCCAGGAAUUCCCGACCGAGGCCAUCUGCUCUGCAGGCAGAAAGUGAAGCGACCGCAGCCUGAUGCAGCCAGGAAGGCAGAGGCUGAGAGGAGGGAGUGUGGCAUCAGAACAGAGUCCGCCGGGGCUCUGGCUUCCUCCUCCGGGAUCAAGGGAAAUGUGCGAAGCACAGUGCAGAAUCCCGGGCGGCUCAUGCCCACUCACUUGCUGGGGGAACAGAUAAAACACGAGUGAGGGGGAGAUUUUGUGGGCUGACACUCCCCAGAAAUGCUGUGUGCACAUGGGCGUGGUGAUUGAUACUUAGCGCUUUGAAGCAAACACCGUGAGACUACUCAGCAUUGGGAGAAGCUGUCCACGCGGACGCCCAGGAAGCAGCCCGGAGGAUAGGGUGCCCCAGCAGUACUGCAGAAUCCCAACUACUGACGAGAAUGAGUAAAAGAAUGCACAGAUUGGACAUGUAAAUAAACAGGUUAAAUACCCUGGCAGCUCUUGAAAACAAACCCCUUUUUCUGAAUCUGCUCAGAAACCUCCGUUCUCAUGGUCACUCGGCAACAUGCUGCGGAGAAGAAGACUCGGCCUCGGAACAGCCAUGCCCGGGUUCGAUCCCAGUCCUAGCUUGUGGCAGCCGGGUGACUGGGCAUGAUUCCUGGGCUUCAGUCCUAAUCUGUAAAACGUAGGGGCUGAAGGAGGA